CUCAUUCUCCUUUCCCUCCUCUCCAUCUCCCUAUUGCAUUGUGUCUGACUGAUUUUCAGAGCACCUUCGCUGUUUCCCCCUUCUCAUUCCCUUUCUGUAAAAUAUCUAGACAGGAAGGAGGUGGCUGCAGAGGCUGAGCAAACAAUCUCAUAUUCUGCCUGCAAUGUCAUCGUUUCUUUCCCCCAUUUUAGGGGGCUGAAGUUGCCCAGGAAGGGGAUGCAGAGGAGCUGGAAAGGAAGGGGGGAGCUCUCCAGAGGCAGCUGCGGUCAGGGGCAGGGACUGCCGCCAGAUGUGCCUGCCUCUCUGGGCUUUGAUUCGAAAGGGGCAGCAGGAGGAAAUAUUGGGAGACAAAAGCCCCGGUUUAAAUGAUCAUUUUCUUUAUUUAACAUGGCAGCAGACACUCUCUGCGUAGGAUCAUCAUGCCGAGCAUAAACUGGACUUUCCCACUUGCCUGGCAGGAGUGAGACAGAUCACUGUGUGCUAAAUGAGCAUCUGAGAUGUCCUUGGCAUGUGCACUCCUGUAGAAUCCAGUUCAUCUCCAAUCUGUCAGCAAGCAUCAGAGGUAGUUUUGACUCCUUAUGUCCUGAGCCUGUGCACAAAAUAUACCUUGUGUGGAGGAAAAUGAGAUCCCGAGUGAAGUCUACAAUGUCAUUGACUCUGAAGAAGGACUCAGAGACCCAUUGGUGUUUAAUGACCCUUACUGGCCUAUGCAAUGGGAACUGAAUCAAUUUUGUAAUAAUGGCCUCAUAACUUGAGAACACCUGUCAAUAAAGGAAAUUCUUUUCUGAGCCUGGAUCUGCAAUGUGAAAUGUAAGGAAGGGAAAAAAAGCAGGAAACACUGGAAAGAUAAAUGAAGUCUAUCUUAUGAAGGUAUGUCCCACAGAGAGAUCUAUACCACUGAUUGGCAUUCACACCUGUGGAAGCAAAGUGUCAAUGCUGAUAGAACUGAAAACGUUUACACACCAGGAAAUGGUUACCUUGGUUUCCUGGACCGAGAUUAAUUCCUAACCGCUCAACUUUCCUACAUAAUUAAGAAUUUGCAGCUUAAGCACUGCCAAAAACCACAUCUGCACUGAAAUCAAUUAUCUGUGUUUGGUGCGGACACUGAUAACAUGUCAAGGUAUGGUAAUGAAACAUCGUCUUUCAAUAACAACACAACUGCCC